rnacentral:rRNA from 1 species
CGUAGGUGGCAAGCGUUAUCCGGAAUUAUUGGGCGUAAAGAGCGCGCAGGUGGUUGAUUAAGUCUGAUGUGAAAGCCCACGGCUUAACCGUGGAGGGUCAUUGGAAACUGGUCGACUUGAGUGCAGAAGAGGGAAGUGGAAUUCCAUGUGUAGCGGUGAAAUGCGUAGAGAUCGGGAGGAACACCAGUGGCGAAGGCGGGUGACUGGACUGCAACUGACGCUGAGGCGCGAAAGUGUGGGGAGCAAACAGGAUUAGAUA